rnacentral:misc_RNA from 1 species
AACUUGUCAACCACUUUGGGAGUCAUUUUUCAAUGUGGCUUGGAUGUGGGGGAUUUGCAGGCUUUUCUUCUGUCUGCUCUCCUGAAAUGCAUUAGUGGUGUCUAAAGGUUACAGCCGCAGGUGUGAUAAAUUAUCUAUGCCUUUGGUAUGAAACAGACUGUGCUGCUUCUAAAUGAAAUGAGCCCUGCAGGCUCUUUCUUUUGAUGA